CCUACGGGAGGCAGCAGCUAAGAAUCUUCCGCAAUGGGCGAAAGCCUGACGGAGCGAUGCCGCGUGAUCGAUGAAGGUCGAGAGAUUGUAAAGAUCUUUUCUACAUGAGGAAUAAGUCUGGGAGGGAAUGCCUGGAUGAUGACGUUAGUGUAGGAAUAAGCCCCGGCUAAUUACGUGCCAGCAGCCGCGGUAAU
rnacentral:rRNA from 1 species